UAAUAAGUGUUUUAUGGCACUUUUUUUAAAUUCCAUAUCCACCUUGUGUGCAAUGUCAGUCGAUCUUCUUUAUGGAGAUUGGCCAAACAUCAACCAUAUCUUUUUAACUCUUUGUCUGAAAAAUAUUAUGAAUAAACAAUUCAAAUA
rnacentral:misc_RNA from 1 species